UUUCUUGAUUGGGAACUUGUAUGAAGGGUAGAAACUUAAGGGGUUGUUUUAUUUAAUUAUUUUGAAUUUAAAUUAAAGGUCAAAAUGCCUUUGUAAAACCUUGGGACGAGAAGACCCUAGAAGCUUAAAAUUUAAAGGGACACUUUUUUUAUUGGGGCAAUAAUUGAAGAUCCUAAUCUUUAAUGGAGAAAAAUAUUAAACUGAAAAGUUACUCUAGGGAUAACAGCGUUAUUUAGUUGGUGAGUUCUUAUUAAUAAUUAAGUUUGCGACCUCGAUGUUGAAUUAAAUUAUAUUUUUGGUGAAGAAGCUAUAAAAUUUAGUCUGUUCGACUAUUGAAAGUUUACAUGAUUUGAGUUCAAACCGGUGAAAGCCAGGUCGGUUCUUAUC
rnacentral:rRNA from 1 species